UCAGCUCGUGUCGUGAGAUGUUGGGUUAAGUCCCGCAACGAGCGCAACCCACGUCUUUAGUUGCCAGCAUUUAGUUGGGCACUCUAGAGAGACCGCCGGUGACAAACCGGAGGAAGGUGUGGAUGACGUCAAGUCAUCAUGCCCCUUACGUCCUGGGCUACACACGUACUACAAUGCUACGGACAAAGAGCAGCAAACUCGCGAGGGUAAGCAAAUCUCAUAAACCGUGGCUCAGUUCAGAUCGUAGGCUGCAACUCGCCUACGUGAAGGAGGAAUCGCUAGUAAUCGCAGGUCAGCAUACUGCGGUGAAUACGUUCCCGGGCCUUGCACACACCGCCCGUCACACCAUGGA
rnacentral:rRNA from 1 species